CUACGGGUGGCUGCAGUUAGGAAUAUUUUGCAAUGCGCGCAAGCGUGACAAAUUGAGCCAGAGUGAUUUUCAUAUUGAAAAUCUUUUGUGGAAUGUAAAAAGUUUCACGAAUAAGGACUGGGUAAGACUAGUGCCAGCGCCGCGGUAAUACUAGCGGUCCAAGUCGCAGCCAUUUUUAUUGGGUCUAAAACAUCCGUAGCUUGUUUGAUAAGUUUCUUGUGAAAUCUGAUAUCUCAAAUAUCAGGCAUGCAAGAAGUACUGUCAAGCUAGAGACUGGAAGACGUGAGAAGUACGUUUAAAGUAGCGGUAAAAUGUGUUAAUCUUAAACGGACUUACAAUAGCGAAGGCAUCUCACGAGGACAGUUCUGACAGUAAGGGAUGAAGGCUAGGGGCGCAAAACGGAUUAGAUACCCGUGUAGUC
rnacentral:rRNA from 1 species